UAGGGAAUCUUCCGCAAUGGAUGCAAGUCUGACGGAGCAACGCCGCGUGAGUGAAGAAGGAUUUCGGUUCGUAAAACUCUGUUGUUAGAGAAGAACAGCGCAUAGAGUAACUGUUAUGCGUGUGACGGUAUCUAACCAGAAAGCCACGGCUAACUACGUGCCAGCAGCCGCGGUAAUACGUAGGUGGCAAGCGUUGUCCGGAUUUAUUGGGCGUAAAGCGAGCGCAGGCGGUCAAUUAAGUCUGAUGUGAAAGCCCCCGGCUCAACCGGGGAGGGUCAUUGGAAACUGGUUGACUUGAGUGCAGAAGAGGAGAGUGGAAUUCCAUGUGUAGCGGUGAAAUGCGUAGAUAUAUGGAGGAACACCAGUGGCGAAGGCGACUCUCUGGUCUGUAACUGACGCUGAGGCUCGAAAGCGUGGGUAGCAAACAGG
rnacentral:rRNA from 1 species